UUACGGCUCAGUAACACGUGGACAACCUACCCUUAGGUCGGGGAUAAACCCGGGAAACUGGGUAUAAUACCCGAUAGAUCUCGACUGCUGGAAUGCAUCGAGAUCGAAAGCUCCGGCGCCUAAGGAUGGGUCUGCGGCCUAUCAGGUAGUAGUGGGUGUAGUGUACCUACUAGCCUACGACGGGUACGGGUUGUGAGAGCAAGAGCCCGGAGAUGGAUUCUGAGACACGAAUCCAGGCCCUACGGGGUGCAGCAGGCGCGAAAACUUUACAAUGCUGGAAACAGCGAUAAGGGGACCUCGAGUGCCAGGUUACAAAUCUGGCUGUCGUGAUGCCUAAAAAGCAUUGCAUAGCAAGGGCCGGGCAAGACCGGUGCCAGCCGCCGCGGUAACACCGGCGGCUCGAGUGGUAACCGUUAUUAUUGGGUCUAAAGGGUCUGUAGCCGGCCGGAUAAGUCUCUUGGGAAAUCCAGCAGCUCAACUGUUGGGCUUUCAGGAGAUACUGUCUGGCUCGAGGCCGGAAGAGGUGAGAGGUACUUCAGGGGUAGGGGUGAAAUCUUGUAAUCCUUGAAGGACCACCAGUGGCGAAGGCGUCUCACCAGAACGGACCUGACGGCAAGGGACGAAAGCUAGGGGCACGAACCGGAUUAGAUACCCGGGUAGUCCUAGCCGUAAACGAUACUCGCUAGGUGUCGGCCACGGUGCGACCGUUGUCGAUGCCGUAG
rnacentral:rRNA from 1 species